UACGUAGGGACCGAGCGUUGUCCGGAAUCAUUGGGCGUAAAGAGCGUGUAGGCGGCUAUUUAAGUCCUGCGUGAAAUCCUGCGGCUCAACCGCAGACGGUCGUGGGAAACUGGAUGGCUAGAGUGCGGGAGAGGAGAGUGGAAUUCCCGGUGUAGCGGUGAAAUGCGCAGAUAUCAGGAAGAACACCCGUGGCGAAGGCGGUUCUCUGGGACGGUACUGACGCUGAGGCGCGAAAGCGUGGGGAGCGAACAGG
rnacentral:rRNA from 1 species